CUGGCUCAGGAUGAACGCUAGCGGCAGGCUAACACAUGCAAGUCGAGGGGCAGCGCGGGAGUAGCAAUACUCUGGCGGCGACCGGCGCAAGGGUGCGUAACGCGUGAGCAACAUACCCGCAACAGGGGGAUAAGCGAUGGAAACGUCGUCUAAUACCCCAUGGAGACCAAGGGCGGCAUCGUCCAUGGCCUAAACCCACGGGGGUUGCGGAUUGGCUCGCGAGACAUUAGCUAGUCGGCGGGGUAACGGCCCACCGAGGCGACGAUGUCUAGGGGUUCUGAGAGGAAGGUCCCCCACACUGGAACUGAGACACGGUCCAGACUCCUACGGGAGGCAGCAGUGAGGAAUAUUGGACAAUGGCCGGAAGGCUGAUCCAGCCAUGCCGCGUGAAGGAAGAAGGUCCUAUGGAUUGUAAACUUCUUUUGUUCGGGAGCAAUAAGGGCGUCGAGACGUCCGAUGAGAGUACCGUACGAAUAAGCAUCGGCUAACUCCGUGCCAGCAGCGGC
rnacentral:rRNA from 1 species